UACGUAGGGUGCAAGCGUUGUCCGGAAUUAUUGGGCGUAAAGAGCUCGUAGGCGGUCUGUCGCGUCGGAUGUGAAAAAUCCAGGGCUUAACCCUGGGCCUGCAUUCGAUACGGGCAGACUAGAGUUCGGUAGGGGGAGACUGGAAUUCCUGGUGUAGCGGUGAAAUGCGCAGAUAUCAGGAGGAACACCGGUGGCGAAGGCGGGGUCUCUAGGCCGACACUGACGCUGAGGAGCGAAAAGCGUGGGGGAGCGAACAGG
rnacentral:rRNA from 1 species